UCGAUUGUUUUCUAGGGUUCCGCAAUCAACUGAUUGGCCUGGUCCGAGAGAAAACGCACAGUUUUACUGUGUCACGGAGGGACAAAAGCCCGGGAGUA
rnacentral:sRNA from 2 species